GAUGAACGCUGACAGAAUGCUUAACACAUGCAAGUCUACUUGAAUUUGGGUUUUUUAACUUCGAUUUGGGUGGCGGACGGGUGAGUAACGCGUAAAGAACUUGCCUCACAGCUAGGGACAACAUUUGGAAACGAAUGCUAAUACCUGAUAUUAUGAUUAUAGGGCAUCCUAGAAUUAUGAAAGCUAUAUGCGCUGUGAGAGAGCUUUGCGUCCCAUUAGCUAGUUGGAGAGGUAACGGCUCACCAAGGCGAUGAUGGGUAGCCGGCCUGAGAGGGUGAACGGCCACAAGGGGACUGAGACACGGCCCUUACUCCUACGGGAGGCAGCAGUGGGGAAUAUUGGACAAUGGACCGAGAGUCUGAUCCAGCAAUUCUGUGUGCACGAUGACGUUUUUCGGAAUGUAAAGUGCUUUCAGUUGGGAAGAAAAAAAUGACGGUACCAACAGAAGAAGUGACGGCUAAAUACGUGCCAGCAGCCGCGGUAAUACGUAUGUCACGAGCGUUAUCCGGAUUUAUUGGGCGUAAAGCGCGUCUAGGUGGUUAUGUAAGUCUGAUGUGAAAAUGCAGGGCUCAACUCUGUAUUGCGUUGGAAACUGUGUAACUAGAGUACUGGAGAGGUAAGCGGAACUACAAGUGUAGAGGUGAAAUUCGUAGAUAUUUGUAGGAAUGCCGAUGGGGAAGC
rnacentral:rRNA from 1 species